AACGCACCUUGCGCUCCUUGGUAUUCCGAGGAGCAUGCCUGUUUGAGUGUCAUGAAAUUCUCAACCUUUUCAGCUUUCUUUGUUGAUCAGGCUUGGAUGUGGGGGGUAUGUGGGCUUCUCAGAAGUCGGCUCUCCUGAAAUGCAUUAGCGGGACCUUUGUUGCCUGGCUUUGGUGUGAUAAUUAUCUACGCCAUUGUGGCCAAGCAGCUUAAAAUGAGGUUUAAGCUUCUAACCGUCUCACUGAGACAACUUUUGACAAUUUGACCUCAAAUCAGGUAGGACUACCCGCUGAACUUAA
rnacentral:misc_RNA from 1 species